UACGUAGGGUGCGAGCGUUAAUCGGAAUUACUGGGCGUAAAGCGUGCGCAGGCGGUGAUGUAAGACAGAUGUGAAAUCCCCGGGCUCAACCUGGGAACUGCAUUGGUGACUGGCGGGCUAGAGUGUGGCAGAGGGGGGUAGAAUUCCACGUGUAGCAGUGAAAUGCGUAGAGAUGUGGAGGAAUACCGAUGGCGAAGGCAGCCCCCUGGGCUAACACUGACGCUCAUGCACGAAAGCGUGGGGAGCAAACAGG
rnacentral:rRNA from 1 species